AUUGAACGCUGGCGGCAGGCCUAACACAUGCAAGUCGAAAGAGUGGCAGACGGGUGAGUAAUGUCUGGGAAACUGCCCGAUAGAGGUGGAUAACUACUGGAAACGGUAGCUAAUACCGCAUACCAUCGGAUGUGCCCAGAUGGGAUUAGCUCGUAGGUGGGGUAACAGCUCACCUAGCCGACGAGCCCUAGCUGGUCUGAGCGGAGGACCAGCCACACUGGAACGGAGAAACGGUCCAGACUCCUACGGGAUGCAGCAGUGGGGAAUAGUGCACAAGGGGCGCAAGCCUGAUGCAGCCAUGCCGGGUGUAUGAAGACGGCCUUCGGGUUGGAAAGCACGUUCAGCGAGGAGGAGUUACUCGCAGAAGAAGCACCGGAUAACUCCGUGCCAGCCGCCGCGGUAAUUC
rnacentral:rRNA from 1 species